rnacentral:rRNA from 1 species
CAUGAAGCUGGAAUCGCUAGUAAUCGCGGAUCAGAAUGCCGCGGUGAAUACGUUCCCGGGUCUUGUACACACCGCCCGUCACACCAUGGGAGUCGGAAAUGCCCGAAGUCAGUGACCCAACCGUAAGGAGGGAGCUGCCGAAGGUGGAGCCGGUAACUGGGGUGAAGUCGUAACAAGGUACC